rnacentral:rRNA from 1 species
UACGGAGGGGGCUAGCGUUGUUCGGAAUUACUGGGCGUAAAGCGCACGUAGGCGGCUUUGUAAGUUAGAGGUGAAAGCCCGGGGCUCAACUCCGGAAUUGCCUUUAAGACUGCAUCGCUAGAAUUGUGGAGAGGUAAGUGGAAUUCCGAGUGUAGAGGUGAAAUUCGUAGAUAUCUGGAGGAAUACCGGUGGCGAAGGCGGCAUCCUGGACCGGCAUUGACGCUGAGGAGCGAAAGCCAGGGGAGCAAACGGG